UAGUCUCUAAGGUGCCACAAGUACUCCUUUUCUCUUAAAGUAUCUCAUCUGACAGAGCCUUUUUGGUAGUUCCUCUACAUUCAGAAAUGAUGGGAAUUGCUCUUCAAUCUUGACUUCUGUCUCUUUGUCAUUUUGAGGUAUGUUAAUAUCCGACACUUGUUCCUUGUGACUGAUAGCAGAUGUGCAAUCCAAAAUAAUGGAGUAAUACUUCAUCUUGUUGAUGUUGCUAAUUGUAUGUUAUCUUUUGAAAUAACUUCAAAAUGAUAUUUUGUAUUGCAGGGCUAUGUAUUGGUGUCUUUCUUCUUUAGUAAAGAACCAUCUUGUGUUCCUUCAUCACAGGCACAAAUUUAGCCAGUAAUUGAACUUGGCCUAAAAAGUUUCCAUUUCCACUCUCAUUAAGUUUUUCCAUGGAUCCACAAAAUGCUAGGUUCUGAUUCAAUUUUCGGUUAUGGUUCCAACUCUCUCCUCUUUUCUGUAUAUCCGAUUGAACAUGGUUUUUCUCAUGAGUUUCGAGAGGUUUGUGGUUAUAUUGCCUUCCUGAAAACCACCACCACCGAGAGACUACGCUGACCAACACCAAAUAAUUUGCAACAAAAGUAGAACGCUACAUCCUCUUAACACUGGCUCAUAUAUUCUGGUAGUUGAACAUUUUUCAAUUUUCUUAUAUUAUUUUCUUCUAUAAACCUGCUCCAUUGUGACUUAGAAAACUUUUACUUUUAACUUGCAGUGAUCCAUGUUUCAGUAUGGUUAUUCUUGCUUUGUCAUGGAUGAAUUUGGGCCAUGUUGAAGGACCACUGACAUUAAAAGGGGAUACUGAAAUUA